rnacentral:misc_RNA from 1 species
GAUGAAGAACGUAGCGAAAUGCAAUAAGUAAUGUGAAUUGCAGAAUUCAGUGAAUCAUCGAGUCUUUGAACGCACAUUGCGCCCCCUGGUAUUCCGGGGGGCAUGCCUGUCCGAGCGUCAUUGCUGCCCUCAAGCACGGCUUGUGUGUUGGGCCCCGCCCCCCGGCUCCCGGGGGGCGGGCCCGAAAGGCAGCGGCGGCACCGCGUCCGGUCCUCGAGCGUAUGGGGCUUCGUCACCCGCUCCGUAGGCCCGGCCGGCGCCCGCCGGCGACCCCCCUCAAUCUUUUCAGGUUGACCUCGGAUCAGGUAGGGAUACCCGCUGAACUUAAGCAUAUCAAUAAGCGGAGGA